GAGCGAACAGGAUUAGAUAGCCUGGUAGUCCACGCCGUAAACGGUGGGCGCUAGUUGUGGGGACCUUCCACGGUCUCUGCGACGCAGCUAACGCGUUAAGCGCCCCGCCUGGGGAGUACGAUCGCAAGAUUAAAACUCAAAGGAAUUGACGGGGCCCCGCACAAGCAGCGGAGCAUGCGGCUUAAUUCGACGCAACGCGAAGAACCUUACCAAGGCUUGACAUAUAGGGAAAAGCGGCAGAGAUGUCGUGUCCGCAAGGGCUCUAUACAGGUGGUGCAUGAUUGUCGUCAGCUCGUGUCGUGAGAUGUUGGGUUAAGUCCCGCAACGAGCGCAACCCUCGUUCUGUGUUGCCAGCAUUUAGUUGGGGACUCACAGGAGACUGCCGGGGUUAACUCGGAGGAAGGUGGGGAUGACGUCAAAUCAUCAUGCCCCUUAUGUCUUGGGCUGCACGCAUGCUACAAUGGCCGAUACAAAGGGCUGCGAUACCGCAAGGUGGAGCGAAUCCCAAAAAGUCGGUCUCAGUUCGGAUUGAGGUCUGCAACUCGACCUCAUGAAGUCGGAGUUGCUAGUAAUCGUAGAUCAGCAACGCUACGGUGAAUACGUUCCCGGGGCUUGUACACACCGCCCGUCACGUCACGAAAGUCGGUAACACCCAAAGUCAGUGGCCCAACC
rnacentral:rRNA from 1 species